UGGUGGUGAUGAUGAUGAUGAUGAUGAUAACAAUAAUAAUAGUAAUAAUAAUAAUUAUUACUAUUACCAUUGUUAUUAUUAUCAUCAUCAUCCUCA
rnacentral:pre_miRNA from 1 species